UAAUCCCCGAACUUAAAAGGGUGGAUUGGUUGAUCCAACCCUCUAGUCCAGGUCCUGAGAACAAAUUUAUGUACUUUAUAUAAUUAUUUCUGAAGUUCAGUUAUAUAAGCAUAUAAAUAUUCGGAUCCCAACUGCGUUAAGUCCUCUCCACUAAAUAGAAAUUGAUACGGCCUUCCAUAUAAGAUUUCAAAGGGGCUCAUAUUCCCUUUUAUUCUAGGUUUAACUCUGAUUCUAAGUAAUGCUAAAGGGAGGGAUUGAGGCCAUGAGAAAUUAGCUUCUUGUCCAAUUUUAGCUGUUUGUUGUUUACUUAAAUGGUUCGUUUUUUCUACCUGUCCACUUGCCUGCGGUCUAUAAGGAGUAUGCAGUUGCCAAUCUAUCUUUAGAAUCUUACUUAUCUUGCGCACAAAACUGUGAAACUAUCAGAAGACAUUGCUACUAGAAUCCCAAAGCACGGCAUUAUUUCAUUUAACAAGACUUUAACCACUUCUCUUGCUUUGUUUGUUCGACAGGGAAAGGCUUCGGGCCUUCCUGAAAAUGUGUCAGUCAGAACCAGUAAAUAACGAUACCCCAUUUUCUAGGGAGUUCUGAAAAAUCAAUUUGCCACUGUUGCCUUGGAUAAUUUCCUUUACCGAUUAUUCCAAAUUUUAUUCUCUUCUUGGUAUUGGGGUUAUUGUGUAAACAAAUGUUACAGUGCUGAGUUACUUCUUUUAUUGUUGUAUAUAAAUUUUGUCCCACUAAUGUCUGACUCCGGCUCUUAUGCAAUGUGUCAGCUCCCCAAUGUGUUUUAUUGUGUUCUGUAAGAACUCUGGGCCAUGUCAAAUUAGAGGGUAUUAUUACGCGGUUAUCUUUUACAUAUACCCAUCCAUCUGGUUUCAUUUUACCUUUCAAAUCUUCAAUUAAUUUUAAGUCUUCUUUGGUAUAAUUUGGAUAUAGUUUGGAUUUUACCGUCUGGUAUCAAAGACAAUGCCUUCACCUCCGUUAUUUCAGCUGCCCGCUUAGCCUCCUGAUCUGCCAAUCCAUUUCCAAUUUCAAAAUCGGCAAUUUUGGUGUCCUCCACAAUGCAUGACAGCUAUCUUUCCUGGUUGUUUUACUGCCUGUAACCAUUUUAAAAUUUCUUCAGCAUGUCUUAUCUGUUUUCCCUGAGCGGUCAGCAAUCCACAUUCUUUCCAAAUCGCUCCAUGAGCAUGUACCACGCCGAAUGCAUAUUUCACGCGAAAAUGCGUGAAAAAGCCACCGUUUGGGGAAUUCCAAAAUCCUUUCCAACCUAAAUUACGCACUGAUUCUGCUCACAGAUACUCAGCUCCACUACCGUCACACAGAAACAUAACUACCCACGAGGAAUAUGCAGCAUCUGCUCCAUUUCUCUUCGUUUUCUUCACAUUAACACACCUUUAAUUAGAAUCUUGGUCUUUCCGAGCAUCUUCACGUUCCAUGUGCACAUGCUGACGGGUGGCUUGGUUGGGCUGCCAUUAGGCAGUGACUGGCUGUGUGUUGGCUGCUGGUGGAGUUUAAAGUGGGCAUGCAAUAGUGCUUGAGGCUCUCUGGAGCUGGAAAUAUGUUGAGUUUGGGGAAUCUCUUCUCCUUCCCCAGAGCUUCGGAGGGCAACCACGGCGCCUUCCUGAAACACCCUGUGCAUCUCCAAGCGGAGCUUUCUCUGCAGGACCUUGCUGGGCGCGAACCGGCGCGACCGCAGCACCAAGUGUCAGAGUUGGAGCCCCAGGAGCCUCCUCCGCCUUGAAGCCCCCCUGAGGAACAGACGGAAACGGAGCAAAGUGCACGCAGGAGAAGCCUGGGCUGGUGCCACGUAGUUAAUUCAGUCUUCAGAUGCUCCCUGGGUGAUAGCUGGGGCGCUUUGUCCAUUUGAAAGCAGGCAAAAGAAGAGAUUGGCGUGACCCAGGGCACCACCACUGCCCCCGAUCUCACGGAGACACUUUCACGUUGCCAUAGAGGCCCCGUCCCUAAGGACCGUCCUGGGAAGUGGGCGAGAAAGAAUCCCAGGCCUCGAUGGGAAGCAGGCGUUGCUUCCCAUCCACCUUCCUGGCUGGGCACCCAUGGGUGCAAGGAGCAAACGCUGCCGAGCCCGAGUAGCGGCCACAGCCACAAAGAUACUCUCUCGGGGAAGACGAUGACACGGCCAGAGAAGGUCAGGGAGGCCACGGCUGACACCCGGGACACCACCAUGUCCAUCAGCUGGGGGACCUGCAGGGGAGGAGCAAGGAGAUGGCAAAUGUCCUCUGCCUGGCCUCCACUAGGUCCUGGAGGAGCCCAGGGCAGCGGGAGCCGGCAGGACCGCAGCUCUUGGCCACCCCAAGAGGCUGGCCAGGAGCUCCAACCUAAGAGGUUGAAAUCUGAACCCUCUGACGGCGUUCUUGCAGCUCCGGGCAAUCAAAGCUCAUCUCACCAUGGACGGGGCCACGGCGUCAGGAGCCUGUGUUUGAGCUUUGGCAUUUUGAAAUUGCAAGAGCUCGCCCCCUGGUCUGUCAGGGUCCCAGUAGCAGAGGCGUCGCUGGGCUCCUUUGUUGCCUUCAUUGGCAGUGGCGACCUGG